AGUAGUGGAUGACCAGGGUGCCGCUGCAACUGCCAACCGGACCGUUGUUGUUUACCAGAAAGCCACCAUCAACGCGAACCUGCAGCUGCUGCGGCAGGUGCCACAGCUAACCGGUGUCGAAACCGCAAACCUACCGGUGGACCUGCUGAACAGCUCCCAUCCUGAGCACAAAUUCGCUGUGGAGGAGAUCGCGACUCGUCUGACGAAGUACGGUGUGCAGAGCUGUGACGUAGAUAUUUUGUCAGCAAUGGUAGAUUAUCCUCUUGGAGGCUUCCCGCCGCAUAUUAACUACAGCACAUCGAUAACUGUGAUCAUCAGUGCAGCCAUACACAUCUACAGUCCUCGCGGUGUGCACCGCUCAGCUGCAGGGUUAGCUUUUACAGCACCCUUUACCGGCGACAAGGAACUCCAACCGCAGUACAGACGACGGCGGCGCCAGCUCCAUAACAGCAAUAACGACGCUACUACCACGAAACGCCUGAUUGCAG
rnacentral:lncRNA from 1 species